rnacentral:lncRNA from 1 species
AAGACUUUAUUUGUAAAGCUACACAAAAGGACUCUGCCGUUUAAAAAACAACCCCCCAACUUUAAAAAAAUAAACCAGCGAACCCAAAGACACGUGAACAAACCAGCCCGGCUCGCAGGCGAGCCGCUGCCAGAGCAACUCGGUCCUCCCUCCCCAGCCCCAGCCAGGCUCUGCGCGCUGGUGUCCCCACGCAGGGACACCCCCAGCCCUCCUGCAGCAUACGGGGUGUGGGGGGCAGCCCCCAGCACCCUGCGGGGGGCACUGACACCCUGCAGCCUCUGGGCAGGAUGCUGGAGGGAGCCCCGCUGCCUUCUGCCCCCCUCCCAAGCGUGCGCCUGCUUGCCAGAGGGGACAGGGGUGGUGGGGUCAGAGCACAGGGGGCAGGGAGCAAGCUCCUCUGGGAACGGGCUUAAGGCUUGCUUUGUUUUCCAGAGCAAGGGAAAGGAAAGCUCCCCUGCCACUGCCAGCAGACUUUCUCCUUGCUUGAGCCACUUCCAGCACCCCUUUUCGCAGGACACAGCGGCAGUGGUCCCCGGGGGCUCGGGAAGGCUCUGCUGCCCACGCUCAGGAAGGACGUACCGAGGGGGGGGAUGCAGCCCAAGCCCCCAGCCCCAGCUAGCAUGCCUGGUGCUCCCUGCCCUCCGACAGCAGCUCGGCUGCUGCCUCCCGGCUGAGGUACCCUGCUGCGGCAGGGGCUGCCUCGUGGCAGCCGGCAGCUCUGCUGCUGGGGGGAGCUUUGGGGUGGGUGGGGGUCCACGGACCCCUCCUCGCCCCCGUCCUCCUGGGCGGGCUGCAGCUGCUCGCACUCCGCCUCGCCCUCCUCGGCUUCCUUCUCCCUGUAGAGCGGCACGGCCUCCAUCUCCAGGCCGUUCUCGAGGGCUCUGUGCUUCCCCCCGUGUGGGUACCACCUGCAGGCGGUGGAGCCGCUGCAGCUCAGGUCAAAGCCCACGUUGUUCCUGGUCAGGCACACCUCCAGCAUGUAGUAGAAAGUCCAGAACACAGCAAAGCAGCCCAACAGCAGGAGGGUCUGUGGAGGAGGAAGCCCCCUGA